rnacentral:rRNA from 1 species
CGGCGGACGGGUGAGUAACACGUGGAUAACCUGCCUAUAAGACUGGGAUAACUUCGGGAAACCGGAGCUAAUACCGGAUAAUAUAUUGAACCGCAUGGUUCAAUAGUGAAAGACGGUUUUGCUGUCACUUAUAGAUGGAUCCGCGCCGCAUUAGCUAGUUGGUAAGGUAACGGCUUACCAAGGCAACGAUGCGUAGCCGACCCGAGAGGGUGAUCGGCCACACUGGAACUGAGACACGGUCCAG